rnacentral:rRNA from 1 species
UGUCGAGCGGAUGAGAAGAGCUUGCUCUUCGAUUCAGCGGCGGACGGGUGAGUAAUACCUAGGAAUCUGCCUGGUAGUGGGGGACAACGUUUCGAAAGGAACGCUAAUACCGCAUACGUCCUACGGGAGAAAGCAGGGGACCUUCGGGCCUUGCGCUAUCAGAUGAGCCUAGGUCGGAUUAGCUAGUUGGUGAGGUAAUGGCUCACCAAGGCGACGAUCCGUAACUGGUCUGAGAGGAUGAUCAGUCACACUGGAACUGAGACACGGUCCAGACUCCUACGGGAGGCAGCAGUGGGGAAUAUUGGACAAUGGGCGAAAGCCUGAUCCAGCCAUGCCGCGUGUGUGAAGAAGGUCUUCGGAUUGUAAAGCACUUUAAGUUGGGAGGAAGGGUACUUACCUAAUACGUGAGUAUUUUGACGUUACCGACAGAAUAAGCACCGGCUAACUCUGUGCCAGCAGCCGCGGUAAUACAGAGGGUGCAAGCGUUAAUCGGAAUUACUGGGCGUAAAGCGCGCGUAGGUGGUUCGUUAAGUUGGAUGUGAAAUCCCCGGGCUCAACCUGGGAACUGCAUCCAAAACUGGCGAGCUAGAGUAGGGCAGAGGGUGGUGGAAUUUCCUGUGUAGCGGUGAAAUGCGUAGAUAUAGGAAGGAACACCAGUGGCGAAGCGACCACCUGGGCUCAUACUGACACUGAGGUGCGAAAGCGUGGGGAGCAAACAGGAUUAGAUACCCUGGUAGUCCACGCCGUAAACGAUGUCAACUAGCCGUUGGAAUCCUUGAGAUUUUAGUGGCGCAGCUAACGCAUUAAGUUGACCGCCUGGGGAGUACGGCCGCAAGGUAAAACUCAAAUGAAUUGACGGGGGCCCGCACAAGCGGUGGACAUGGGUUUAAUUCAAGCAACGCGAAAUACCCCUUGACUGCAACUUUCCAAAUGGAUUGGGCCUCGGCUUGACCUGCAUGGUGUCGCAGCUCGCGAAGGGAUCCGUACGCCCCUUGGGCGGUCA